UGCGACACAUCCAUGUAAAAAUGAUGGAUGCUGAGUCAUGAGUUGCCAAUACCAACGCGCUAGUCGAUCAUCCCUGCGGAAAACGUAUGGUGGUGGGUAAUUUAAUUUAGCGUAAUGGGAGUGGUUGAUUUUAAUCUUAGGCAAAAUCUUCAAUCGUCUUCAGGCAUAAAAAAGUAGGUUUAAAAAAGGUGAUUGCUUGUCAAUAGAAUUGUAAAAUGUGGAAUUCAAAGGUUGAAUGUGAGAUCAGUUUUUUAGGUGAUGAGCAGUUGGAGACGGUGAAAUUGCAAGUUUUAUCUGUUAAUGCGAGUUUGUAUGCUAAAUUGGAUUUUCAAGGAUUCCUGGACUUUUAAUCUCAGUUAGCAAUCCGGAUGGGGUGGUCGGAAGGAAAGAAAAAAUUCAAAUAAAAGGGGAUAGGGCACAGGCGGUGAGGAUUGGGUUUAAUUCGAAGCAACGGAAGAACCGUCCAGAAAAAUACAUCCUGUGUCAACCCAUGAGAUAGGGCUUCCCCUUCGGGGGCAGAGUGACAGGUGGUGCAUGGUUGUCGUCAGCUCGUGUCGUGAGAUGUGGGUUAAGUCCCGCAACGAGCGCAACCCUUGAUCUUAGUUGCCAUCAUUAAGUUGGGCACUUAAGGUGACUGCCGGUGACAAACCGGAGGAAGGUGGGGAUGACGUCAAAUCAUCAUGCCCCUUAUGACCUGGGCUACACACGUGCUCAAUGGACGGUACAAAGAGCUGCAAGACCCGAGGUGGAGCUAAUCUCAUAAAACCGUUCUCAGUUCGGAUUGUAGGCUGCAACUCGCCUACAUGAAGCUGGAAUCGCUAGUAAUCGCGGAUCAGCAUGCCGCGGUGAAUACGUUCCCGGGCCUUGUACACACCGCCCGUCACCCACGAGAGUUUGUAACACCCGAAGUCGGUGGGGUAACCUUUUUGGAGCCAGCCGCGUAAGGUGACAGAG
rnacentral:rRNA from 1 species